rnacentral:lncRNA from 1 species
AAACUGAAGCUAAUCUUCUGCAAUAAUAUCGAAGAUCGUAAAAAAUUAGAGAGAUAGGAACCCUAAUUCAUUGAUAGAUUUGGAUCGAGAGGCUCGUCGAUGUAUAAGAGAGGGGGAGCGAGAGGGGUACGCGUGUUGGAUUUUGGAUUUGAAAUGGCGAGAAAACCUAGUAAAGGAAAGAGAGGAAGAGGAGCUGAUGAGCUAGGAGCCAAU